rnacentral:lncRNA from 1 species
GCUGUGGCGUCUGUCCUGCAGCAGCACUUCCUGCUCUUCAGCCAGCGGCUGCACUCCUCUGAGGUGGAGAGGCGGAGCCUACGGCUGGAGUUAUCCAAUCAGAGCAGAGGAGCUGAGAAGGAGAAGGUGUGUGUGUUAUUGUGUGUGUGUUUAAAUGUGUGUUAAUGUGUGUGUGUCCUCAGCGCUCCCUGAGGAUUGUGGGUAAACACCUGGUGGAGCUUCAGUGGAACAGGAAGCAGCUGAAGAAGAAACUGAAGGAAGCUCACAGGUACUUCCUGUCACACACACACACACACACACACACACGAGCACUCACUGUGUGUGUGUGUGUGUGUGUGUGUUCUUCUUUAGACGCAGUGAUCACAUAAUCAGGUGGAUGAAGGCUGCAGAGAUGAGCUGUAACCUGGUCACAGAGAGCCUCAGCCAAUCACAGCACCCCCUGAGGGCAGUGCCCCUCCUCAUGCUCAGUAGAACAGAGAGCAUGCUUGGAGCUCCAGAGCUGGAGGCGUGUCAGAGGUUCCUCUCGGCCGUCUCUCAGCUCUGUCAUGUCUCCUGCUCCAGGAUUGGUCGGCUGGAACAAGAGGUGCCAAAGUUCACAGAAACGUUUCCACUGAUCAACGUGAAAACAACCACUGUGUCACCAUGUGAUCAGUCAAAGCUCCGCCCUUUUCAAAUAAACCCAACCCCCUCUGUGACGUGAGCCCCCCCCCCUUCUGUUUUACCUG